AGUGAACGCUGGCGGUAGGCCUAACACAUGCAAGUCGAACGGCAGCACAGUAAGAGCUUGCUCUUACGGGUGGCGAGUGGCGGACGGGUGAGGAAUACAUCGGAAUCUACUUUUUCGUGGGGGAUAACGUAGGGAAACUUCCGCUAAUACCGCAUACGACCUACGGGUGAAAGCAGGGGAUCUUUGGACCUUGCGCGAUUGACUGAGCCGAUGUCGGCUUAGCUAGUUGGCGGGGUAAAGGCCCACCAAGGCGACGAUCCGUAGCUGGUCUGAGAGGAUGAGCAGCCACACUGGAACUGAGACACGGUCCAGACUCCUACGGGAGGCAGCAGUGGGGAAUAUUGGACAAUGGGCGCAAGCCGGAUCCAGCCAUACCGCGUGGGUGAAGAAGGCCUUCGGGUUGUAAAGCCCUUUUGUUGGGAAAGAAAAGCAGCAGGUUAAUACCCCGCUGUUCUGACGGUACCCAAAGAAUAAGCACCGGCUAACUUCGUG
rnacentral:rRNA from 1 species